AGGGCGGCGGGAAGCUCAGCGGUGGGGCCACGCGCGGAGUGCGCGUCACUCUCUCGGCCCCUGGGAAGGUCUGAGACUUGGGYCAGCAGCGGCCCUAGCAGGGCCCUCCCCGCGCGCGGGGGGGUGAGUUCCCAGAGAGCGGGCCCCGGCGAGGGCCUUCGGGCAGGAGAGGCCGCUCGCGCGGCGGAUGCCCCCUCCCCGGGGCUUGGAAUAGACUCACGGCCGGCACGGUGAGUUCAAUGGCUGGGCCGGGGCACCCGAGCAGGCCGGCAUCGGGCCGCGGGGCUCCGGAACCCAAUUCAGACUACUCUCCCCCGCCCGC
rnacentral:RNase_P_RNA from 1 species